rnacentral:pre_miRNA from 2 species
UCUUAUGGAUGAGCAAGUAAAGUAGUUUCUUGAGAUGGAGUCUACUCCUGCUGAAGAUGCUGUGUA